GCAGCUCUGGGAGAGGAGCCCCAGUCCGGGAUUCCCAGCUGCUCCCGUUCUCUGAUCAGGACUGAGCACAGACGACUCACCAUGGAGCUGGGGCUGAGCUUGGUGUUCCUGGGUGCUCUUCUACAAGGUGUCCAGGCUCAGGUGCAGCUGGUGGAGUCUGGGGGAGGCUUGGUGCAGCCUGGGGGGUCUCUGAGAGUCUCCUGUGCAGCCUCUGGAUUCACCUUCAGUAGCUACUACAUGAGCUGGGUCCGCCAGGCUCCAGGGAAGGGGCUCGAGUGGGUCUCAGCUAUUAAUAGUGGUGGUGGUAGCACAUACUAUGCAGACUCCGUGAAGGGCCGAUUCACCAUCUCCAGAGACAACGCCAAGAACACGCUGUAUCUGCAAAUGAACAGCCUGAAACCUGAGGACACGGCCCUGUAUUACUGUGCGAGAGACACACGGGGGUCCUCGAGUGCUGUCCGUCCUUUCCUCCUCCAGGAUGCGGUCUGUCACAGCCAUCACCCUGCUCCUGGCUGUCCUCCAAGAUGUCCAUGCCCAGGUGAAGCUGGAGCAGCCUGCGGCAGAGCUGAAAAGGCCCGGGGAGACUCUGAGGAUCUCCUGUAAGACUUCAGGGUACAGUUUUACCAGCUACUGGAUCGGCUGGGUGCGCCAGAUGCCUGGGAAAGGCCUGGAGUGGAUGGGGGCCAUCUAUCCUGGUGACUCAGAUACCAGAUACAGCCCGUCCUUCCAAGGCCACACCACCAUCUCCACAGACAAUCCACCAGCACUGCCUACCUGCGGUGGAGCAGCCUGAAGUCCUCGGACUCAGCCGUGUAUUACUGUGCAAAGGACACAGUGAGGGAAAC